rnacentral:tRNA from 1 species
CAUGGCUCAAUGGUUAGUGCACUGGUCUUGUAAACCAGGGGUUGUGAGUUCAGAUCGCGCUG